rnacentral:rRNA from 1 species
GACGAACGCUGGCGGCGUGCUUAACACAUGCAAGUGGUGCGACGAACCAGGCUUCGGCCUGGGGCAGAGCCGCGAACGGGUGAGUAACACGUGGGUAACCUGCCCCGAUGACUGGGACAACCCGGGGAAACCCGGGCUAAUACCGGAUGAGCUCUCCAUUCAUCUGAGUGGAGAGGAAAGGUAGCUUCGUCCUCCGCCUCGGGAUGGGCCCGCGGCCCAUUCGCUUGUUGGUGUGGUAACGGCUCACCAAGGCAACGAUGGGUAGCUGGUCUGAGAGGACGAUCAGCCACACUGGGACUGAGACACGGCCCAGACUCCUACGGGAGGCAGCAGUGGGGAAUCUUGCGCAAUGCGCGAAAGCGUGACGCAGCAACGCCGCGUGGGGGAAGAGGGCCUUCGGGUUGCAAACCCCUUUCAGUUGGGACGAAGCCUUCCCUGGUUAAGAGCUAGGGGGGUGACGGUACCUUCAGAAGAAGCCCCGGCUAACUACGUGCCAGCCGCCGCCGUAAAAC